rnacentral:rRNA from 1 species
GGAGCUUGCUCCACCGGAAAAAGAGGAGUGGCGAACGGGUGAGUAACACGUGGGUAACCUGCCCAUCAGAAGGGGAUAACACUUGGAAACAGGUGCUAAUACCGUAUAACAAUCGAAACCGCAUGGUUUUGAUUUGAAAGGCGCUUUCGGGUGUCGCUGAUGGAUGGACCCGCGGUGCAUUAGCUAGUUGGUGAGGUAACGGCUCACCAAGGCCACGAUGCAUAGCCGACCUGAGAGGGUGAUCGGCCACAUUGGGACUGAGACACGGCCCAAACUCCUACGGGAGGCAGCAGUAGGGAAUCUUCGGCAAUGGACGAAAGUCUGACCGAGCAACGCCGCGUGAGUGAAGAAGGUUUUCGGAUCGUAAAACUCUGUUGUUAGAGAAGAACAAGGAUGAGAGUAACUGUUCAUCCCUUGACGGUAUCUAACCAGAAAGCCACGGCUAACUACGUGCCAGCAGCCGCGGUAAUACGUAGGUGGCAAGCGUUGUCCGGAUUUAUUGGGCGUAAAGCGAGCGCAGGCGGUUUCUUAAGUCUGAUGUGAAAGCCCCCGGCUCAACCGGGGAGGGUCAUUGGAAACUGGGAGACUUGAGUGCAGAAGAGGAGAGUGGAAUUCCAUGUGUAGCGGUGAAAUGCGUAGAUAUAUGGAGGAACACCAGUGGCGAAGGCGGCUCUCUGGUCUGUAACUGACGCUGAGGCUCGAAAGCGUGGGGAGCAAACAGGAUUAGAUACCCUGGUAGUCCACGCCGUAAACGAUGAGUGCUAAGUGUUGGAGGGUUUCCGCCCUUCAGUGCUGCAGCUAACGCAUUAAGCACUCCGCCUGGGGAGUACGACCGCAAGGUUGAAACUCAAAGGAAUUGACGGGGGCCCGCACAAGCGGUGGAGCAUGUGGUUUAAUUCGAAGCAACGCGAAGAACCUUACCAGGUCUUGACAUCCUUUGACCACUCUAGAGAUAGAGCUUCCCCUUCGGGGG